rnacentral:rRNA from 1 species
AUUGAACGCUGGCGGCAUGCCUAACACAUGCAAGUCGAACGGAGCGUCGGACGGGUGAUUACUGCCUAGGAAUCUGCCUGUUAGUGGGUGAUCCCUUCCGGAAACGGACGCUUAUAACACAUACUUUCAGAUCAGCCUAGGUCGCAUUAGCUGGUUGGUGGGGUAAAGGCUUACCAAGGCGACGAUGCGUAACUGGUCUGAGAGGAUGAUCAGUCACACUGGAACUGAGACACGGCCCAGACUCCUACGGGAGGCAGCAGUAGGGAAUAGUGGGCAAUGGGCGAAAGCCUGAUCCAGCCAUGCCGCGUGAGUGAAGAAGGUCUUCGGAUUGGAAAGCACUGUAAGUAGGGAGGCGGUACCAACAGAAUAAGCACCGGCUAACUACGUGCCAGCAGCCGCGGUAAUAC